GGCGGACGGGUGAGGUAACACGUGAGCAAUCUGCCCGUUAAGAGGGGGAUAGCAGUUGGAAACGACUGAUAAUACCGCAUAAGAUAGUAGUACCGCAUGGUACAGCUAUAAAAGAUUUAUCGCUUAAGGAUGGAGCUCGCGUCUGAUUAGCUAGUUGGUGAGGUAACGGCUCACCAAGGCAACGAUCAGUAGCCGGACUGAGAGGUUGGACGGCCACAUUGGGACUGAGACACGGCCCAGACUCCUACGGGAGGCAGCAGUGGGGAAUAUUGCACAAUGGAGGAAACUCUGAAUGCAGCGAUGCCGCGUGAGGGAAGAAGGUUUUAGGAUUGUAAACCUCUGUUGACAGGGACGAUAAUGACGGUACCUGUUGAGGAAGCUCCGGCUAACUACGUGCCAGCCGCGGC
rnacentral:rRNA from 1 species